CAUAAACCGCACUAUAUAAAAGAAAAUCGACAUAAAUUCACGCAGUUUUAGGUGCUGUUCCACCAUUCGUGGUUUCAGAAUUAAGUGUUCAGAAAAAUGUUCCGUUUCGUCAAAUUGGCACUACUGUUCACAGCCAUGUGGCUCCUGGUGGACUCUUCACCCCAGAAUGAACUGAAAGAAGGCGACUGUAACUGUGAAAACUGUGAAUGUAUAAGCAGAAGUGUUUGUCCGUCCGAAAGAAUCAUCAACUUACCCUGUCCCGGCAAUUUCAUAUUCGUUUGCUGCAACAUGACCACCGGUUUGGAGAACACCAAAUACGACAUCGAUACCGCGCAAAACGACAUUGUGUCCAUCGAAUUAAAACCAUAAAUAAAUAAUAGUUUAAAAAACUAAAAAAACACGCUUUUAUUGCUAAUCGAACUAAAAACUAGAAAAUAAUUUUUAAUGACAGAGUUUAAUAUUACAGUAGUAGAAGAUCAAAUAAUCAAUCAUAAUAAAUCACCUCAAAUUAAAAUUAUAAUAAAAUUUAAGUUAUUAACAGAAUAAUUCAAUUCAGAGUAAAAAGCGUGGGGUGCUUGAUAUUUUAAAUAUUACAAUCAUUCUAUUGGCAACUAUCUAUGAGAGGAUAGUUAUGAACCGCAGUAAAAUGCACCCCACGCUUUUUACUCUGAAUUGAAUUAUUCUGUUAAUAACUUAAAUUUUAUUAUAAUUUUAAUUUGAGGUGAUUUAUUAUGAUUGAUUAUUUGAUCUUCUACUACUGUAAUAUUAAACUCUGUCAUUAAAAAUUAUUUUCUAGUUUUUAGUUCGAUUAGCAAUAAAAGCGUGUUUUUUUAGUUUUUUAAACUAUUAUUUAUUUUUCAUUUUUUAGUCUGCGACAAAUUCAUAAAUUGGGGAAUUAAUUACUUAUUUAGAUUUUUCUAGAAAGAACCACUCAGUGGUCUCCGUAGGAUCGAGGAUCCUGGCGGUCGUAAUAAGGAUAAUGGGAAACUGUUAUCAAAUUAUUGCAUUGUCAUCGAUCCUUGAGACGUGUGCAAAGUUUCAAGAUGAUCAGACUUUUAGAAACCGAUGAAAAUUAAGCUCAAAGAUUCCGUUACAUACAUACAUACAACCCAAGCUAAUAAAAGCGUGAUAAAAACGCAUUAAUCGCCCACCUGACGCUUUCCUUUCCUUCUCCACGUCCGAGAAAUCCAAGGAGCUCUCCGUAAGCGAUCCGAUGACGUUUUUGCCCUCCUCGCUUUUUGGCGGGUCCUUCACGUCUUUCUCGCACUUGGCUAAUCUACCCCAUGUCCAUUCUGCGUCCACCGUGAUCCACGUUAUUAAAUCUUCCACUCGCAGGACGACUUUUUCCGAAAUGGCCAGUACUUCGUCCUGUGGAGAAAACAGAAUUACGUCAAGUUUGCUUAUCAUAUUCAAUCAAUGUAAUUUACUUAAAAUAUAAAUAUAAUUUGUGGUG